rnacentral:rRNA from 1 species
UACAGAGGUGGCAAGCGUUGUUCGGAAUUACUGGGCGUAAAGGGCGCGUAGGCGGCUUGGUCAGUCCCGUGUGAAAUCCCUCGGCUCAACUGAGGAACUGCACGGGAAACUGCCUGGCUUGAGUUCGGGAGAGGGAAGCGGAAUUCCGGGUGUAGCGGUGAAAUGCGUAGAUAUCCGGAGGAACACCGGUGGCGAAGGCGGCUUCCUGGACCGGCAUUGACGCUGAGGCGCGAAAGCCAGGGGAGCAAACGGG